UUCUCUCCCAUCACCUCUUCAUUUUCUUUGGAAAAAGACAAAAAAUCUUCCACCAUAAAUUGUUUCUCACAAACAAACAUUGGGGAUCUCCUUCUCCUCAUAGCUAUAACCAUCAUAAAAAUUUCAAAUUCAAAAAAACUCUCCCUCACUCUAAACCUGUCCACAACCGAAAACACCACGACACCACCGUGCUCCUCCAUUCAAAC
rnacentral:lncRNA from 1 species